rnacentral:rRNA from 1 species
AUGAUUUUUUUNNNAUGGCCGCAGUACCUUGACUGUGCUAAGGUAGCAUAAUCAGUUGGCCUUUAAUUGAGGUCUGGAAUGAAUGGGAUUACGAAAAACAACUGUCUCUCCUUUAAUCUAUUUAAGUUGCCACGAGGGUGAAAAAGCCCUCGGCCACGAAAAAAGACGAGAAGACCCUAAGAGUUUUAAACUAAGGAAGACGCUGUUUUCGCCAUUUUUGCUGGGGCGGCAAAGGAACAUUUUAAAAAGGAACUUCCUUUUUUUUAAUUUUUUUAAGGGCCUUAAUUGAUAAGAACUAAAAAACUACCUUAGGGAUAACAGCAUCAUACUUUUAGUGAUUGUGACCUCGAUGUUGGACUAGGAAAUCCUUUGGUGAGCAACCAAAGGAUUUUGUUCUGUUCGAACAAU